GCAUAGAUUCAUAUACAAGACUCCUUACAUAAUAACUCAACAUAUUAGAAAAUAUAAAACAUACAAUUUCUAUCCCUCUUACAAACUUGUAAUAACAAAGACGAGGGAAGAAAAUAAUCUAAAUAAUACAACAGCAUAUAAACCAAAUGCAGUAUAACUCUUUUUAAUGCUUCUUCAUCCGGUUCCUGAAAAGGUAAAGCUCAACUAUCUGAGUUCGA